GGGCCAGUGGUCUACCGGUAUGACGCCGCCCUUACAAGGCGGAUAUAGUAGGUUCGAUUCCUACCUGGCCCA
rnacentral:tRNA from 1 species